rnacentral:lncRNA from 1 species
UAUAUUGAAUAUAUAUUGAAUCUAUAUUGAGUUGCAUCAAAUAUAAUUUGUUAUUUAAAACAUUGAAUUGCAAAAAAUGUAAUUUGCUUUAAUUUAUGAAAGACCAUAAACAUAUGAAAGACCAUAAACAUAACAUGAACGAAACGUUGUCUCCUUGUUGUGGUGUCUGUUGUCUGAGUUUCGGUAUAACGUUCAACGCGGGGAGGCCGCAUACGAGUCCUCUAGCUUCCCUUGAAACAACAGUUCCUGCAGUACCAAUUAAAAUAUUUGUUAUUCACAAGGUUGUAACAUACUUACACAUCACAAGUUGAAACAAAACUUGAGAUGUUCUCUGCUUGUUGAUCGUUUACUUUGUUGAUCGUUCUCUUCUUGUAUAGGUGUCUCUGCUUGUUGUGGUGUCUCUCCUUGUUGUGGUGUCUGUCGUCUGGGGUUUGGUACAUACUUUACAGCGGGGAGGCCGAUUAUGAUUCCUCUAGCUUCCAUUGAAAUAACAGUUCUGCAGUAACAAAUGAAAUUUUUGUUAUUCUAUAUCACAAGGUUAAAACAUACACAUCACAAGUUGAAACAAAACUAUUAGGUAAACUGAAAAACAACAAAUGAAAAAAAAAAAAAUACAAGUUAUACUUUCAAUCGGGUUCCUUUCUCAAUCUAUGUCUAUGUGUAUGUAUAUCCUUCAGAUUUAUCUUUCCCAAAGCCUCAAAGAAUGAUAGAGUCGAGUGGUCUUAUAGCUACACAAUAACAAAAUUCAGGAAAAAAAAGAAAUCGACUUUCAUUAACAAAAGCUUCAAAGUAAAAAUCGAAUGAAAAAACAGAAACAGAGAUUCGAGAGUAAAAACAAGCAACAGCACAUAAUCCUAAAGAAAUAUCUGUUUUAACAGAAGAGUGAAUCGAACCUUUAGAUCGAUUCGGCAGAGAUCAAAUGAAAACGAUUUUCUCCGUAGAUUCAGUCGGCGAUGGUGAAAGAAGCUUCGAGGUCGUGUCUAUUCGGUUUCCAUCGAAGACAACGAAUAAGAAGACAAAAAAGUAAAUUUUU